GACGAACGCUGGCGGCGUGCUUAACACAUGCAAGUCGAACGGAAAGGCCCCUUUGGGGGUACUCGAGUGGCGAACGGGUGAGUAACACGUGAGUAACCUGCCCUUGACUUCGGGAUAACUUCAGGAAACUGGGGCUAAUACCGGAUAGGAAUCCUUGCUGCAUGGUGGGGGUUGGAAAGCUUCGGCGGGUUUGGAUGGACUCGCGGCUUAUCAGCUUGUUGGUGGGGUAAUGGCUUACCAAGGCUUUGACGGGUAGCCGGCCUGGGAGGGCGACCGGCCACAUUGGGACCGGGAUAAGGCCCAGGAUCCUACGGGAGGCAGCAGGGGGGAAUAUUGCAAAAUGGGCGGAAGCCUGAUGCAGCAACGCCGCGUGCGGGAUGACCGCCUUCGGGUUGUAACCCGCUUUCAGCAGGGGCGAAGCUUGUGGUGACGGUACCUGCAGAAGAAGCACCGGCUAACUACGUG
rnacentral:rRNA from 1 species